rnacentral:rRNA from 1 species
AAAGUGGCACGUGAACUGGGUUCAGAACGUCGCAAGACAGUUCGGUCCCUAUCUGUGGUGGGCGCAAGUAAAUUGAGAGGACAUGACCUUAGUACGAGAGGACCGGGUCGUACGUACCGCUGGUGUAUCAGUUGUGCCGCCAGGUGCAAUGCUGAGUAGCUAUGUACGGACAGGAUAAACGCUGAAAGCAUCUAAGCGUGAAACCUUCCUCAAGAUGAGUUUACUUUUAAGGGCCGUCAAAGACUAUGACGUUGAUAGGCUAUAGGUGUAAAGCUGGUAACAGCAAAGCCAAGUAGUACUAAUUGCCCGUACGCUUUAAUUUU